rnacentral:lncRNA from 1 species
AUCUGGGAAGCCUGUAGUCAGUUUUACCAUGCCCUGAAGCAGCAUGUUUUCCUCUGUGAGCUGGCUGAAGGAGCAUCUUUCUUCCUAGCUGGUUGUUUGUGGGAUCACGUGAAGUUUGCUGUUUUCUUCGUGUCUGAGGUCCAUGCUUCAGUUCCAAACGAGAGAUAAGCCUAACAGCAUCUAUUACAUCAUCGAUACAUAUUACUGCAGCAGAGCUUGGACAAUGAUUAUCAAGGACACCUGGAUAACGAGCAAGAAGCAGCUUGAAGAAAGAGCAGGCUGAAUACAUUCCUCUCUUCCUCCUUAGAAGUAACCAGAAGGCUAACGCAGAUUUGCCAUUUUAUCUGGCAUCUCCCGGAUAGAAGCAUGUGCUAUGCAGCACGCACCCAUGGGGAGCCUGAGACAUCCGACCUUCAUGUGUGUGUUAAAUUGAGGAAGAACUGUAACUACUGCACGCAC